rnacentral:tRNA from 1 species
GGGGGACUAGCUCAGCUGGCUAGAGCGCUUGCAUGGCAUGCAAGAGGUCAUCGGUUCGACUCCGUUGUCCUCCACCG